rnacentral:rRNA from 1 species
AGAAUCAACGCUGGCGGCGUGCCUAACACAUGCAAGUCGAACGCGAAAGUCCCGCAAGGGGCAAGUAGAGUGGCAAACGGGUGAGUAACACGUGGGUGACCUGCCUUCGAGUGGGGGAUAACGUCCCGAAAGGGACGCUAAUACCGCAUGACAUCCUGCCUUUGAAUAGGCGGAGAUCAAAGCUAGGGAUCGUAAGACCUGGCGCUUGAAGAGGGGCCCGCGCCUGAUUAGCUAGUUGGUGAGGUAACGGCUCACCAAGGCAACGAUCAGUAUCCGGCCUGAGGACGGGCGACGGACACGA